UACGUAGGGGGCAAGCGUUGUUCGGAAUUACUGGGCGUAAAGGGCGCGUAGGCGGCGACUCUAGUCAGAUGUGAAAGCCCCGGGCUCAACCUGGGAACUGCAUUGGAAACUGGCGGGCUUGAGUGUGGCAGAGGGGGGUGGAAUUCCACGUGUAGCAGUGAAAUGCGUAGAGAUGUGGAGGAACACCGAUGGCGAAGGCAGCCCCCUGGGCUAACACUGACGCUCAUGCACGAAAGCGUGGGGAGCAAACAGG
rnacentral:rRNA from 1 species